GAUGAACGCUAGCGACAGGCUUAACACAUGCAAGUCGAGGGGCAGCGAGGGCGUAGCAAUACGCCUGUCGGCGACCGGCGCACUGGUGAGUAACACGUAUGCGACCUGCCCCCUACAGGGGUAUAACCCGUAGAAAUGCGGACUAAUCCCCCAUAGUCCCGCGGGCUGCAUGGCCUGCGGGGGAAAGGCCAGCCGGUAGGGGAUGGGCAUGCGGCGCAUUAGCUAGUUGGCGGGGCAACGGCCCACCAAGGCGACGAUGCGUAGGGGUUCUGAGAGGAAGGUCCCCCACACUGGUACUGAGACACGGACCAGACUCCUACGGGAGGCAGCAGUGAGGAAUAUUGGUCAAUGGGCGCAGGCCUGAACCAGCCAAGUCGCGUGAGGGAGGACGGUCCUACGGAUUGUAAACCUCUUUUGUCGGGGAGUAACGUGCGGGACGGGUCCCGUAUUGAGAGUACCCGAAGAAAAAAGCAUCGGCUAAACUCCGUG
rnacentral:rRNA from 1 species